CUGAGGGGGGGGGGGAACAGCAAUGGGGGGGGGGAGCAGAGUGGGCAAAAGGCACCAAAUCCAUCAUGGAGGUGGGGAGGGGGGGGGUUUAGGGGUGAGUUUUGGGGGGGGGGGGGUCCUCAGCCGCUCAGCACCAUCCGGACGAGUUCCCUGUGGUGUCACCCCGACAGGAUGUGUCGCACAAACGCUUCGUAGUUGAUGCAGCCGUUGCUGUCCUCGUGCCCGGCCACCAACUGCUCCACCUCCUCCUCUGUCAUCUUCUCACCCAGGGUGACGAGGACGUGGCGGAUCUCCGCGCCCAUGACGGUGCCGUUGCCCUCCUUGUCGAAGACGCGCAGCCCCUCCACGUAGUCCUCGAAGCAGCCCUGGUCCUUAUUCUUGGCGAUGGUCUGCAUCAUGGGCAGGAACUGCUCGAAGUUCAGCGUCUUCAGGUUCAUCUCGUCGCUCUUGGGGUUGCCCAGCACCUUCAUCACCUCUGCAUUAGUGGGGUUCUGCCCCAGCGCCCGCAUCACAUCCCCGCAUUGGCUGUAUAGGAUCUUCCCAUCGCCCGUGCGGUCGAACAGCUGGAAUGCCUCCUUGAACUCCGCCGUUUGUUCCUCCGAGAAAUCGCACAUGGCUGCACCGCACCGCACCGCACCGCCCCGCACGGCUCCGGUCCCGCUCCGCUCUGGGCCGCGGCCGCGGGGACGGAGCUUUGUACCGCGUGACGUCAGCGGCGGUAAUGAGGGGGC
rnacentral:lncRNA from 1 species